rnacentral:misc_RNA from 1 species
CGAAAUGUUAAUGCCCAAAAAAAAUCAGCAGCACAUUGCGAAAUCAAAACAAACAAAACAAGCACAAACAAAAUGUAAACCACGAUUCCAUUCAAGUUUCAUAUUUGAUACCUGAGAUUUGCAGAGACAGAGAGUGCGAAUCGUUAUCAAGCGCGUCAAAAACCAAAAACUAAUCCAACAAGAAAUGGUUUCUUUCGGCAGAUUUAGACAAAUAACGGAAAUGAAAAAUUUUGGGGAUUUUCUAUCUUGAAACAAUCGAUUUAAUCGAUUCACAGCCAAUGGGUUUCGGAAAUAUUUAAGAACGAUGAAGGGAGACAAUGGUUUGAAAGGUUGCGAAUGAAAUGGGUUUGCAAAUGGAGAGAAAAUACAUCUGUUCGGGUUUUGGUAGGUGAUGCGACGGAAAGAAGGAGUUUUGAAUUUUAAAACUGAAAAGACACAAUUGGAGACAUUUGCAGAGAAUGGGUACCGUGUAUCAGUGGAGUUGCAGAGAAAAGAUUGAUGGUUCCAAAAAAAAUUUGAGUCCCGCGCUAAUUAAAUGUGUCAAAAGUCCAUUUUGCCCUUAAAUCACAUAAAGAUGCAAUGCUCUAAAUAGAGGGGUAAUUAAGUAAUAUGGGCUUUAAACAUGCAGAAUAGGCGCUUCGAGAAAAAUAAUUUUAGAGUUUUAGAGCAAUCAGACCUGACUUCCAGUUUGCCAACGA